rnacentral:rRNA from 1 species
UACGUAGGUGGCGAGCGUUAUCCGGAAUGAUUGGGCGUAAAGGGUGCGUAGGCGGCCUGCUAAGUCUGGAGUGAAAGGUACCGGCUCAACCGGUACAGGCUGGAAACUGGCGGGCUAGAGAGCAGGAGAGGGCGGUGGAACUCCAUGUGUAGCGGUAAAAUGCGUAGAUAUUAGGAGGAACACCAGCGGCGAAGGCGGAUUACUGGACGACAACUGACGGUGAGGCGCGAAAGCGUGGGGAGCAGACAGG